AGAAACGAAACAGUGAUGUGGAGUAAAACUCAAAAAGCGGUCCCAGUUCGAAUUGAAGGCUGAAAUUCGCCUUCAUGAAGUCGGAAUUGCUAGUAAUGGCAGGUCAGCAUACUGCCGUGAAUACGUUCCCGGGCCUUGUACACACCGCCCGUCACACCAUGAGAGUUGGAGAUACCCGAAGCCUGUGAGCUAACUUUUAGAGGCAGCAGUCGAAGGUAGAAUCAAUGAUUGGGGUGAAGUCGUAACAAGGUACC
rnacentral:rRNA from 1 species